rnacentral:rRNA from 1 species
CCUACGGGUGGCAGCAGUGGGGAAUAUUGGACAAUGGGCGAAAGCCUGAUCCAGCCAUGCCGCGUGUGUGAAGAAGGCCUUCGGGUUGUAAAGCACUUUCAGUGGGGAAGAAAGCCUUGGGGCUAAUACCCUCGAGGAAGGACAUCACCCACAGAAGAAGCACCGGCUAACUCCGUGCCAGCAGCCGCGGUAAUACGGAGGGGGCGAGCGUUAAUCGGAAUUACUGGGCGUAAAGCGCGCGUAGGCGGUCUGAUAAGCCGGUUGUGAAAGCCCCGGGCUCAACCUGGGAACGGCAUCCGGAACUGUCAGGCUAGAGUGCAGGAGAGGAAGGUAGAAUUCCCGGUGUAGCGGUGAAAUGCGUAGAGAUCGGGAGGAAUACCAGUGGCGAAGGCGGCCUUCUGGACUGACACUGACGCUGAGGUGCGAAAGCGUGGGUAGCAAACAGGAUUAGAUACCCGAGUAGUC